GCAUUGGCGCAGUCUACACAUGCAGUCGAGCGGUAGAGAGAGAGCUUGCUUCUCUUGUAUAGCAGCGGCGGACGGGUGAGUAAUGCCUAGGAAUCUGCCUGGUAGUGGGGGAUAACGUUCGGAAACGGACGCUAAUACCGCAUACGUCCUACGGGAGAAAGCAGGGGACCUUCGGGCCUUGCGCUAUCAGAUGAGCCUAGGUCGGAUUAGCUAGUUGGUGGGGUAAUGGCUCACCAAGGCGACGAUCCGUAACUGGUCUGAGAGGAUGAUCAGUCACACUGGAACUGAGACACGGUCCAGACUCCUACGGGAGGCAGCAGUGGGGAAUAUUGGACAAUGGGCGAAAGCCUGAUCCAGCCAUGCCGCGUGUGUGAAGAAGGUCUUCGGAUUGUAAAGCACUUUAAGUUGGGAGGAAGGGUUGUAAAUUAAUACCUUGCAAUUUUGACGUUACCGACAGAAUAAGCACCGGCUAACUCUGUGCCAGCAGCCGCGGUAAUACAGAGGGUGCAAGCGUUAAUCGGAAUUACUGGGCGUAAAGCGCGCGUAGGUGGUUAGUUAAGUUGGAUGUGAAAUCCCCGGGCUCAACCUGGGAACUGCAUUCAAAACUGACUGACUAGAGUAUGGUAGAGGGUGGUGGAAUUACCUGUGUAGCGGUGAAAUGCGUAGAUAUAGGAAGGAACACCAGUGGCGAAGGCGACCACCUGGACUGAUACUGACACUGACGUGCGAAAGCGUGGGGAGCAAACAGGAUUAGAUACCCUGGUAGUCCACGGCUGUCCACUAUGUAAACUACCCGUUUGGAGCCUUGCAGAUGGAAAUUGCCGCCAGCUAACACAAUAACUUUAACUGCCUGGUUAGUGCAGCCGCUUCCGCUAGAGACUACACCUGAGUAUAUAGUAGCUGGUUCAAGCAGCUGCAUGAUGCUCGCUUGUCUCUCAAUUACAUCCAAUAACAGAGCACGCCUUGAGUUCAGACGAGCGUAUCGACAUAAGAAUAGUUGCGUGCCUGCAUCUCGGGAACAGUACAACAAGCUGAAAUGACUAACUACGCUCCAGUCAGAUAGUGACGUUACAACAGAACAUGCCUCUACGCGUACGCAGGAUCGCUGCACAUUAGAACAUCGCGUACGCAGGAGAGGUGAACUCAUUGAGUUACAGCCACAAAGGUU
rnacentral:rRNA from 1 species